GAUGAACGCUGGCGGCGUGCCUAAUACAUGCAAGUCGAGCGGAAAGAUGAGGAGCUUGCUCCUCUGACGUUGGCGGCGGACGGGUGAGUAACACGUGGAUAACCUACCUAUAAGACUGGGAUAACUUCGGGAGACCGGAGCUAAUACCGGAUAAUGUAUUGAACCGGAUGGUUCAAUAGUUAAAGACGGUUUUGCUGUCACUUAUAGAUGGAUCCGCGCCGCAUUAGCUAGUUGGUAAGGUAACGGCUUACCAAGGCCACGAUGCGUAGCCGACCUGAGAGGGUGAUCGGCCACACUGGAACUGAGACACGGUCCAGACUCCUACGGGAGGCAGCAGUAGGGAAUCUUGCGCAAUGGGCGAAAGCCUGACGGAGCAACGCCGCGUGAGUGAUGAAGGUCUUCGGAUCGUAAAACUCUGUUAUUAGGGAAGAACAAAUGCGUAAGUAACUAUGCACGUCGUGACGGUACCUAAUGAGAAAGCCACGGCUAACUACGUG
rnacentral:rRNA from 1 species